UACAGAGGGUGCGAGCGUUGUCCGGAAUCACUGGGCGUAAAGGGCGCGUAGGCGGUCUCUUAAGCGUGUGGUGAAAGCCCGGGGCUCAACUCCGGGUCGGCCGUGCGAACUGGGAGACUGGAGCUUGUCAGAGGCAGGCGGAAUUCCGGGUGUAGCGGUGGAAUGCGUAGAGAUCCGGAAGAACACCCGUGGCGAAGGCGGCUCUCUGGGACGGUACUGACGCUGAGACGCGAAAGCGUGGGGAGCGAACAGG
rnacentral:rRNA from 1 species